rnacentral:rRNA from 1 species
UACGUAGGGUGCAAGCGUUAAUCGGAAUUACUGGGCGUAAAGCGUGCGCAGGCGGUUUUGUAAGUCUGUCGUGAAAUCCCCGGGCUCAACCUGGGAAUUGCGAUGGAGACUGCAAGGCUAGAAUCUGGCAGAGGGGGGGUAGAAUUCCACGUGUAGCAGUGAAAUGCGUAGAGAUGUGGAGGAACACCGAUGGCGAAGGCAGCCCCCCUGGGCUAGCACUGACGCUCAGGCACGAAAGCGUGGGGAGCAAACAGG